UUGAAUCAUAUUUUGAGUGCAGCUCAAACCAAAGUCAAAUUCCUUGUAUUCUGUGGAUACUUAGCACUUAAAAGCUGUUCUGAUUCGGAUUCUGAUAAACCAGCAGACGUUUAUGAAGAAAAUGCUGAUGAACCCUGUUUUAUUUGAAACUUCAAAGUUGUUGCUUCAGUUCUUUGUCACUCAGUUUUCUGUGAUUUUCAGGGAACACUUGAGAUAAAAUGGUAACAGCUGAUUUUCAUAUUAAAAGACAGUUUCCCUUUUGGAAACUCUCCCAAGAAAUCUGAUCAGUGUUCAGAGAAUCUUGAUGUCUUCAGGGUGUAUUAAA